rnacentral:rRNA from 1 species
GUGGGGAAUAUUGGACAAUGGGCGCAAGCCUGAUCCAGCAAUGCCGCGUGGGUGAAGAAGGUCUUCGGAUCGUAAAGCCCUUUCGACAGGGACGAUGAUGACGGUACCUGUAGAAGAAGCCCCGGCUAACUUCGUGCCAGCAGCCGCGGUAAUACGAAGGGGGCUAGCGUUACUCGGAAUUACUGGGCGUAAAGGGCGCGUAGGCGGCUCUGUUAGUCAGGCGUGAAAUUCCGGGGCUUAACCUGGGGACUGCGCUUGAUACUGCAGGGCUUGAGGCCGAGAGAGGGUGGUGGAAUUCCCAGUGUAGAGGUGAAAUUCGUAGAUAUUGGGAAGAACACCGGUGGCGAAGGCGACCACCUGGCUCGGUUCUGACGCUGAGGCGCGACAGCGUGGGGAGCAAACAGGAUUAGAUACCCGGGUAGUCC